rnacentral:rRNA from 1 species
UGGGGAAUAUUGGACAAUGGGCGAAAGCCUGAUCCAGCCAUGCCGCGUGUGUGAAGAAGGUCUUCGGAUUGUAAAGCACUUUAAGUUGGGAGGAAGGGCCAUUACCUAAUACGUGAUGGUUUUGACGUUACCGACAGAAUAAGCACCGGCUAACUCUGUGCCAGCAGCCGCGGUAAUACAGAGGGUGCAAGCGUUAAUCGGAAUUACUGGGCGUAAAGCGCGCGUAGGUGGUUAGUUAAGUUGGAUGUGAAAUCCCCGGGCUCAACCUGGGAACUGCAUUCAAAACUGACUGACUAGAGUAUGGUAGAGGGUGGUGGAAUUUCCUGUGUAGCGGUGAAAUGCGUAGAUAUAGGAAGGAACACCAGUGGCGAAGGCGACCACCUGGACUGAUACUGACACUGAGGUGCGAAAGCGUGGGGAGCAAACAGGAUUAGAUACCCACGUAGUCCCUGAGCGGGCUGGCAAGGCGCAU